rnacentral:rRNA from 1 species
UACAGAGGGUGCAAGCGUUGUUCGGAAUUAUUGGGCGUAAAGGGCGCGUAGGCGGUGCUGUAAGUCUGUAGUGAAAUCUCUGGGCUCAACUCAGAGUCUGCUAUAGAAACUGCAGUGCUGGAGUGUGGGAGAGGUGAGUGGAAUUCCCGGUGUAGCGGUGAAAUGCGUAGAUAUGUGGAGGAACACCGAUGGCGAAGGCAGCCCCCCUGGGUCAAGACUGACGCUCAUGCACGAAAGCGUGGGGAGCAAACAGG